ACGUAGCAAUACGUUUGUAAAGCGGCGAACGGGUGAGGAAUACAUGGGUAACCUACCCUCGAGUGGGGAAUAACUAGCCGAAAGGUUAGCUAAUACCGCGUACGCUUCUUGGACUUCGGUUCAGGGAGGAAAGCGAUACCGUGGGUAUCGCGCUCUUGGAUGGGCUCAUGUCCUAUCAGCUUGUUGGUGAGGUAACGGCUCACCAAGGCUUCGACGGGUAGCUGGUCUGAGAGGACGAUCAGCCACACUGGCACUGCGACACGGGCCAGACUCCUACGGGAGGCAGCAGUAAGGAAUAUUGCGCAAUGGGCGAAAGCCUGACGCAGCGACGCCGCGUGGGGGAUGAAGGUCUUCGGAUUGUAAACCCCUUUCGGGAGGGAAGAUGGAAUGGGGUAACCCAUUCGGACGGUACCUCCAGAAGCAGCCACGGCUAACUUCGUGCCAGCAGCCGCGGUAAUACGAAGGUGGCAAGCGUUGUUCGGAUUUACUGGGCGUACAGGGAGCGUAGGCGGUUCGGUAAGCCCUCUGUGAAAUCUCCAGGCUUAACCUGGAACAGUCGGAGGGGACUGCCGGGCUAGAGGACGGGAGAGGAGCGCGGAAUUCCCGGUGUAGCGGUGAAAUGCGUAGAGAUCGGGAGGAAGGCCGGUGGCGAAGGCGGCGCUCUGGAACGUUUCUGACGCUGAGGCUCGAAAGCGUGGGGAGCAAACAGGAUUAGAUACCCUGGUAGUCCACGCCUUAAACUAUGAAUACUAAGUGUCGGCGGGUUACCGCCGGUGCCGCAGCUAACGCAUUAAGUA
rnacentral:rRNA from 1 species